GUGUGUGAGAGCAGCACACUCAUGUUCCCAGGCAGGAAUGCCAGCGCGCUCUCUGUUGUUAAUGGUUUCCACAUGGAGUUGGAGCGAGGGGCGGCCAAGACUCCGGCACGGGGCAGAAAUCUCCAAAUUUAGAAGAAAUAUGAAAAUUGUCAAAUGCAGCUUCCCUCGAAAGGGAGACAGGACCACCCCCCCGCCGCCUCCCACCCCCUACUCGCCUCCCCUUUCUCCCCCUCCUCCUCCCCGAAAGGAUCCCUCCGCACCAGAGAGCUCUCCUCCUCAGACGCAGCAGGUCACGGGCUGGGGUCACGGGGCCCCCCAUUGGCCCUCCCGCUGCCCAAUCGCGCGGCUCCGGGGGUUUUCCCUCCUCGUGGCGCUGCGGAGCUGGGCCGGCCCUCUCCUCAUAUAAGGUAAAACAAAAGUCUUUGCUCCUCGAGCCGGCCGUGCUUCGACAGGGAGCCUGGAGCCGGGAACCCCCUCCAGAGCGUCCAGGACAGGCGCUCCAUCUGCAGUCAUGGGGACCAGGGUAGGGGACCCCCCCCCCCCCUCAUCAGCCGCCACCACCAGGCCAGCCGACAGGACCAGGACAGCGGCACACGUCCAGCAGCACACCUUCCUUCCCACUACUGGGAGGGGGCUACAGAGGAGUGACAGCCUCAUGGGAGCAGGACCAACUGGAGCAGUCGGCACGCCCCAGGCCAGAGCAGGUUGAGAUCCCCCGGGGCAGGCCAGGGUGGAACAGGUGGGAGGCUAAAGCCUUUGAGUGAGAGGAUCAAAGCCUCCACAGUCUACGGCCCAAGCCCAGGAAACCAUGGCGUCCAAGGGGAAGAAAGAUACAGGUAGGUUUGGGCAGUCCAAGAUGGGAAUGGAUGGAUGGAUGAUGGAUGGAGGGAUGGAUGGAUGGAUGGAUGGAUGGAUGGAUGGAUGGAUGGAUGGAUGGAUGGUCGUCCUGGUCGUCCAGCCCCAGGUGCAGUGCUGCAUCUCUGGUCAAUUGGUAGUCUGAGAUGAAGCACUGUAGCUCGGGAGGGAGGGCAUGAGCUCCAGACACGUACGCAUCAGCUCCAGACACACAUGAGCUCCAGACACGUUCACAUGAGCUCCAGACACGUACACAUCAGCUCCAGACACACAUGAGCUCCAGACACGGACACAUGAGCUCCAGACACGUGCACAUCAGGACUCAGGACUCAGUCACAUGUUCUGUUGUAAAGCAGUAAAGAAACGUCUUUAAAAUUAUUCAUUUCAAGUGUGUUUGCAGUCCGUUUAAAAAAAUAAAAAAAAGCCCUGUUCUUGUAGUUUGCUUUGCUCCCUGGAGCAUUCGACGUUCCCAGUGUCCUGCGUGUCACUAUUUUGGGGAUUGAACGGAGCACAUUCCCAAUGUUCCCUGUCCCCGGGGUCCAGUUUUCCCAGGAAUCCCUUGGCCAAUCAACAAGGGGGAUUCCUGGAAAUACUGUUCUUGGGGUCUGGGCCUUACUACAGGUCUGUGUAUCUCACACACACACACACACACACCGAGUGCUUCUACUGAAUGGUCUGAUCUAGGCUAGUAUAUGCAGUAUGCACCGUUAGGGAGUAGUGAACUAAACUAACUAAAUGUCAUUAAACUCAGUAACUUGCUGGUAGUUCAACUACAUUCAUAUUUGCAUAGUUAUUCAAGUAGUAACAUCUUUUGCCAUCUUCUGUGUCGUUAACUACUGAAACUACAAACAAUCGAAAGGACAGGAAUCAUUUUGUAUUUCAUCAUUGCUUCUGUACUGUAAUUGAACCCUCUCUGACCAGCCUCCUCCCCCUUGUCUAUCAUCCUGAUUGAUUGAAGGACUGCUUGUGUGUUGUCUAUCGUCCUGAUUGAUUGAAGGACUGCUUGUGUGUUGUCUAUCAUCCUGAUUGAUUGAAGGACUGAUCGUGUGUGUUGUAGAACGAGGAGAUUCUGCUCAGACAGGUCAAAAGAUAGGCCUAUUGAUUAGACCGAUGUUCAAGCUGUUCAUACUGUCUGAACACUGAAGUCAGUCAACAGGCCCAAUGCUAAAGACCCAGGGCUUUUUUAGACCAGUGCUAAAGUCGCUCAAACGGUCUAAAAAAGUAUAUUUUACUAAAAAUAUUUAUUUAUAUUUUACUAAAAUAUUUUUUCCUUUACUGUUUCAGUUGUAGUCAGAUUUUUUUCUAACAACAAAAAUGUAACAUUCCUUGCAAUUGUGUCUUUGUGAGACGCCCAGAUGGGAUAGUUUUGUUUAAACAGGUUUAUGUCUCCAGAGGUGCCAGCUCACCAGUGAAGAAUAUUUGGCUAUAGAGUCUAAAAUUGUAUUACUAAACCUGAAUAUUAUAAGUUAUUGAUUAGUGCUAUUUAUUAACAAAUGUUUCAAAAAGUUGUUGCAUGCUAUUUGAGAAAGUUACAUCGCUAACUGAGUAAUCUUGCUUUUAUUUAUUUAUGUAUUUAUUUUUUUAUGUAUGACCUGUGAGUUUGCAAUAAACUUAAUUGAGUGG